rnacentral:rRNA from 1 species
UGGGGAAUAUUGCGCAAUGGGCGAAAGCCUGACGCAGCAACACCGCGUGAGGGAUGACGGCCUUCGGGUUGUAAACCUCUUUCAGCUCCGACGAAGCGAAAGUGACGGUAGGAGCAGAAGAAGCACCGGCUAACUACGUGCCAGCAGCCGCGGUAAUACGUAGGGUGCAAGCGUUGUCCGGAAUUAUUGGGCGUAAAGAGCUCGUAGGCGGUCCGUUGCGUCUGCCGUGAAAACCCGGAGCUCAACUCCGGGCCUGCGGUGGAUACGGGCGGACUAGAGUCCGGUAGGGGAGACUGGAAUUCCUGGUGUAGCGGUGGAAUGCGCAGAUAUCAGGAGGAACACCGGUGGCGAAGGCGGGUCUCUGGGCCGGAACUGACGCUGAGGAGCGAAAGCGUGGGGAGCGAACAGGAUUAGAUACCCUGGUAGUCCACGCCGUAAACGGUGGGCGCUAGGUGUGGGGAUCGUUUCCACGAUCUCCGUGCCGUAGCUAAACGCAUUAAGCGCCCCGCCUGGGGAGUACGGUCGCAAGAUUAAAAG